UGGGGAAUAUUGCGCAAUGGGCGAAAGCCUGACGCAGCGACGCCGCGUGAGGGAUGAAGGUUUUCGGAUCGUAAACCUCUGUCAGAAGGGAAGAAACCGCACUGUGCUAAUCAGCAGUGCCUUGACGGUACCUUCAAAGGAAGCACCGGCUAACUCCGUGCCAGCAGCCGCGGUAAUACGGAGGGUGCAAGCGUUAAUCGGAAUUACUGGGCGUAAAGCGCACGUAGGCUGCUUUGUAAGUCAGGGGUGAAAUCCCACGGCUCAACCGUGGAACUGCCUUUGAUACUGCUUAGCUUGAAUCCGGGAGAGGGUGGCGGAAUUCCAGGUGUAGGAGUGAAAUCCGUAGAUAUCUGGAGGAACAUCAGUGGCGAAGGCGGCCACCUGGACCGGUAUUGACGCUGAGGUGCGAAAGCGUGGGGAGCAAACA
rnacentral:rRNA from 1 species